GAAGAGAUUGUGUGGGCUCUCUCCAGGGAGUCUGUCGAAGACAUGAAAACACAGCCAGUAUUGUCAUGCCGCCACUUUUCAUGGUGUUAUUGUUAACCAUGGACUUCAAGGCUGGAGUUGUUUCCUGUGGCAGCUCCUGUGGUGGAGAGAAGGGCUCACACAUACUCCAGUUUCACUCCACUACAGGUUUGAGAGCAAUGAAAGACUACUCAGAGAUGCUGAGAGAGUCUUGGAGAUGCCUGCAAAGGAGAGCUAUCACAAAGUAUAAUAUCAGAGAGAAACACUUUCUGGU